AAUUCCUGUAAAUGGGGGUGCCUUGCUAAGGGCUUGCCAAUCAGGACAUUCUUUAAUAAUUUGCUUAGCUUGGAAAGACAGGCCCCCUGCUGUUUUUGCAAGCUGCAAUGAGGUCACAGUUUUCAAGGAAAGUGGCACAGAUGAGGGGGAGGUGCUCUGAAAAAAUAUGUUUUAGACAAAAAUGGUUAUGCACCAAGGGCCUUUUGUGACUUGAUUGACUAACCAUUUCCUCCGGGAGAAUCGCCAAUUCUUCCCCAAGGAAACCAUCAGUGUUUACAG